GAUGAACGCUGGCGGCGUGCCUAACACAUGCAAGUCGAGCGAUUCUCUUCGGAGAAGAGCGGCGGACGGGUGAGUAACGCGUGGGUAACCUGCCCUGUACACACGGAUAACAUACCGAAAGGUAUGCUAAUACGAGAUAAUAUACUUUUAUCGCAUGGUAGAAGUAUCAAAGCUUUUGCGGUACAGGAUGGACCCGCGUCUGAUUAGCUAGUUGGUAAGGUAGUGGCUUACCAAGGCGACGAUCAGUAGCCGACCUGAGAGGGUGAUCGGCCACAUUGGAACUGAGACACGGUCCAAACUCCUACGGGUGGCAG
rnacentral:rRNA from 1 species